rnacentral:rRNA from 1 species
CUGCCCCUACGGGACGCAGCAGUGGGGAAUAUUGCACAAUGGGGGAAACCCUGAUGCAGCGACGCCGCGUGAGUGAAGAAGUAUUUCGGUAUGUAAAGCUCUAUCAGCAGGGAAGAAAAUGACGGUACCUGACUAAGAAGCCCCGGCUAACUACGUGCCAGCAGCCGCGGUAAUACGUAGGGGGCAAGCGUUAUCCGGAUUUACUGGGUGUAAAGGGAGCGUAGACGGCAGCGCAAGUCUGGAGUGAAAUGCAGGGGAGCAACCCCGGAACUGCUUUGAAAACUGUG